rnacentral:tRNA from 1 species
GGGGGUGCAGCUCAGUGGUAGGGUGCUUGCUUGCCAGGCACGAGGCCCUGGGUUCCACCCCCAGCACCACAG